rnacentral:rRNA from 1 species
UGACUAAGCCCAUGCAUGUGUAAGUAUAAACUUUUAUACGGUGAAACUGCGAAUGGCUCAUUAUAUCAGUUAUAAUUUAUUUGAUAUUGUCUGCUACUUGGAUAACUGUAGUAAUUCUAGAGCUAAUACAUGCGUCAAUGCCUGAUUUCGAGAGGGCUGUAUUUAUUAGAUUCAAAACCAAUGCGUGGCAACACGGCUUGUGGUGAUUCAUAAUAACUUUUCUGAUCGAAUGGCCCUGGAGCCGUCGAUGUUUCAUUCAAAUUUCUGCCCUAUCAUACUUGUUGGUAAGAUAUAGGCUUACCAAGGUUAUAACGGGUAACGGAGAAUUAGGGUUCGAUUCCGGAGAGGGAGCCUGAGAAAUGGCUACCACAUCUAAGGAAGGCAGCAGGCGCGCAAAUUACCCAAUCCCGACACGGGGAGGUAGUGACAAGAAAUAUUCAAUGUCGGGCGUUUGUCUGAUAAUUGGAAUGAGAACAAUUUAAAACUCUUAUCGAGUAUCAAUUGGAGGGCAAGUCUGGUGCCAGCAGCCGCGGUAAUUCCAGCUCCAAUAGCGUAUAUUAAAGUUGUUGCAGUUAAAAAGCUCGUAGUUGAAGUUUGAGGCCCUUUCCAGGGUGUGCUCUCUGAGUGUGCUCUGGAGUUUAAAGACCCAUGGUCCGGCGGAAACGCUGUGCACUGUGUGGCGGGGCCUUUUUUGUUCCGCAGGCCGGGGCUUUCCGUUGAGGAGGGUCCUGUUAUGGAAUGCGGACCGUUUACUUUGAAUAAAUUAGAGUGUUCAAAGCGGGCUAUUGUUGCUUGAAUACGUUAGCAUGGAAUAAUGGAAUAGGACUUUGGUCUUAUUUUAUUGGUUUCUAGGACUGAAGUAAUGAUUAAUAGGGGUAGUUGGGGCCAUUGAUAUUUAGUUGUCAGAGGUGAAAUUCUUGGAUUUACGAAAGAUCAACUUCUGCGAAAGCAUUUGGCAAGGAUAUCUUCAUUAAUCAAGAACGAAAGUUAAGGGAUCGAAGAUGAUUAGAUACCGUCGUAGUCUUAACAGUAAACGAUGCCGUCCAGCGAUUUCGCCUUUUGUUAUUUAAGCAGCUUGAGAGAAAUCAGAGAUUUUGGGUUCCGGGGGGAGUAUGGUCGCAAGGCUGAAACUUAAAGGAAUUGACGGAAGGGCACCACCAGGGGUGGAGCCUGCGGCUUAAUUUGACUCAACACGGGGAAACUUACCAGGUCCGGACAUUAGAAGGAUUGACAGAUUGAUAGCUCUUUCUUGAUUUGAUGGUUAGUGGUGCAUGGCCGUUCUUAGUUGGUGGUGUGAACUGUCUGCUUAAUUGCGAUAACGAACGAGACCUUUGUCUGCUAAAUAGUUACGGCUUAGUGAUAAGCUGGCUAACUUCUUAGAGAGACCAUCGGGGUUUACCCGGGGGAAGCGAGAGGCAAUAACAGGUCUGUGAUGCCCUUAGAUGUUCUGGGCUGCACGCGCGCUACAUUGAAACUGUCAGAAAGUAUACUUGCUGCGAUGAGCAGCGACUCUGGACCGAGAGGUUUGGAUAAUCUUUGAAACGGUUUCGUAAUGGGGCUAGAUUUUUGCAAUUAUUAAUCUUCAACGAGGAAUCCCUAGUAAGCGCAAGUCAUCAGCUUGCGUUGAUUAUGUCCCUGCCCUUUGUACACACCGCCCGUCGCUCCUACCGAUUGAAAGUUCCGGUGAGACUUUGGGAGUCCUGGUCGGGGAGCAAUCUCUGGCCUAGUCCUGGAGCAAACUUAUUCAAAUCUUAACUUUUAGAGGAAGGAGAAGUCGUAACAAGGUUUCCGUAGGUGAACCUGCGGAAGGAUCAUUA